AGGACCGCCGAGCUUUGCUGAGGCAUCAUGGUGGGACUUAAAGAAGUAUCUUGGCCGGGCGCAGUGGCUCACACCUAUAAUCCCAGAACUUUGGGAGGAUGAGGCAGGAGGAUCAAUUGAGUCACGGAGUUCAAGACCAGCCUGGGCAACAGAGUGAGACUCUGUCUCUACAACAAAUUUUAAAAAAAUUAGUCAGGAAAAACAAAGAUCCCCAAAGUCCAUUUCGCUCCGAGGUCAGUGGACACAGCUCUGUGACUGUCCUGUGCUGUGUGGGUCUGUAGAAGGGCCAGUCAUGGGCCAUCGAGCUACUCACAGCCAACUGCACCCAAGUCCAAGCCUGGCUCUGUUCCCAUACACAGAGACAGGAUGGGGGCUGCUGAUCUGGCCUGAAGCCUUGCUCUGGGCACUGAAAACGGGGGCUAUUUCCUUACCUGAAGAUCUGGAAGCAGCAUGUUGACAAAAGCACCAACUGCUCUGCCAUCACGUCCCACUGGGUGUCAGUGGGAAGGCCUAACCAAGGCCUGCCUCCAGUGGCUAUCAGGCAGACGGGCCAGCAGUUCCCCUCCAGGAGCAAGGGACCCUUCUUACCCUUUUGAUCACAUUUCCCUCUCUUAAAGGGGCACUGCUGUGGGAAGGGGUCAUGCCUUGGAUCCUACAGUCAUGGACUGUGGGUGAAACAGGGGCUCUUGACUCUUCACUUCCUAGCCAUAACUCUGCCCAUUGGACCACCCACCCUCCCUGCUGCUGGUCUCCUGGCUCACCCAUCAAAUCCAACUGCUUUAUCUAGAAAAUACUUUUCUCCAUUCUCAUUUCCCUUUGCUUUCCCACUCACCUCUGUUUUUGUUUCUGUUUUAUUUUGUUCCAGACACCCUUUUCAGGGAAGUAGAUCAGGGAGGCCCAAGAGAUUAGGCCUGGGUGGGCUGCUAUCGCUUAAGAACACGUCUGCCUCUGGGGCUCCUCCCUAACAGCUGGCCUCUGGAGCUGGGAGAUGCAGCUGCCUGGCAGUCUGCAGAGGCAGAUUGUGUUGUUACGUGCUGGUCACCGCCUUGAGCCUUAAACCACAGUCAGCAAUGAACCUGGAGGCAGGGCAUCUCUGGGGAUGAUCGACCGCAUCUGCUCAGGUUCUUGCAGGGCAGGGCAGGCAGAGAUGUGUGUUUGGAGCCAGAAAGCCUUCCUGCCAACCUGCCAUGCCUCAGUUUCCCUAUCUGAACCACCUUCAUAAAAACAACUUACGGCUCUCAGAGCAGCACAUUUGUAAAAACCUGAAAAAUAUAAAGAAAAACGUCACUCACAUUUCUCCCAUGAACAUUUUCCUAUUUUAUGUAUCUUUUAUGUAACUGAAUCACAUUGCAUAUACAAUUAUGUGUUCCAUUUUUAAACAAUAAGCUUCCCUUGUUUUAAAAGUAAUAAUCCAUGUUUAUUAUGUGUUAUUGCAUAGAAAUUUCAGACACAAAAAAAGAAAGGAAAAAUGACUCCUUAUUGCUCCAUUGAGAAAUAAUAAAUAUGAAUAUUAUUCUGAUAAAUA
rnacentral:lncRNA from 1 species